CCUAGGAAAGUCGCCCUUGGACAGGCUCGAGGUGGCAAAGCCUCUCCUGUACCCCUCCCUCCCAGGCCUCUUCUCCAGCACAGCAGAACCUGCCUCCACAGAGGGUCAAUAGGAAGCCAGGUCUACAUGUGUCCUGGGCUGAGGGUGGCUCUGACUUCCACGAUGGCCCAGCAGGCCCAGGCUAAUCUCCUAGGUAUGUGUGGAGCCUGCCGCUCCCUUUCUCAGCAGGUGAGCCUCACCUCCUCAGGCCCCGGAGCUUGUCUUGCCCUAAUGUCCUCACCAGGCGUCUGGGGCCUGUGGGUGCCUAAGACCCCAACAGCCUGUACAAGGCCAGGGCUGUGCCGGCCCAGCCUGCUCCUGGGAUAAAGGGAUCUCUCGGUGCUGUCUCCCAGCUUUUCUCACCCCUCGGAGGCCAGAGGCCGGGACAGCUCAGCAUUGUCUGUGCCGCCUGCAGCCGAGCUGAUGAUGGACACUUUCCUGUGACCUGGGACUGCCAGGGUGGCCCACAGCCAAUCCCUGGAAGGGCUUGGGCCCCCGUUCUCUGCUCCUGGGGGGAAGGGAGGGCAAGAGGCCAUCCAGUGUGGAUGUUUCGAGCCUUGAAAAGGAGCAAAUACCUCUUGCUCUAGAAGGGGGUGGGGAGGAGGGGGUGACCUGUAGCCGGAGAAUGAGGCCCAGAGGCAGUUUCUAGCCUCAUCGGAGGUAAACAGGAUAAGGGAUGGACAGGGUGGGGAUCAGCAGGUGUCGGGGAGAGAAGGCUCAGUUCAAAGGCCCACUGCAGGAAAAGUCCCUCAGAAGCCAUCCCAGGGAGGGCACAGAGAAGGGGCCACAAUCCUCCUCCCAUGUGACAGUGACCAGGGCAGAUGUCCAACCACAAGUGUCACAUCCAUGAGGGGUUGGCUGCAGCAGGCCGUGGAGCUGCCUCCCAGGGGUGGGCCCAUGGGAGGGUGGGCAGCAUGCGCAGAGAACACCAGAAGUGGCCACGGCUCAGGGGUAAUUCAGGUGACCGUUUCUGAGCCCAUGCAGCCUGGCCCCAACUCCCACUCGCCCCUCCCCACUAGCAGUAAGGCCUCCUGCCCAUUUCCUUGCAGAACAACUUCUCCCCCUGGCCGGGGACGCCCUGUGGCACCCUCGGGGCCCAGCACAGUGGCUGGCACACAGGAAGUAAGCUGCCGCCCAGGUGCCUUCUCCUUGGACAGCGGAACCAACUCGCAGCUGCCCACUCAGCUGCCCACCAGUGUGGGAGCCUGGGACACGUCUGGAGUUUGCCAGACCAAGGAGCAGGAUCUUCGGAGACUCAGGGUCCCUUCACAGGACCUGGCACGUGCGGGUGGGGAGUGGGACAGGAACCCAGGAGAUGCCAGGACCAGCUGUGAGCACCUGGGCCCUCACAGCCCAGCUCCCUUUCCAAAGAAGCAAGACUUUGGUGGCUGAGAGCAGGGGCGAGGGGUGCUGGUAUGAUGUUGUAAAGAAAGCUGCGGUCAAAACCCCACAGGGCUCAGUGGGCAGAGGGGACCAAGAGAGAUCUGAAUGGAUGAAGAGACAGGGCCGGACCCAGUAGGUCUAGUGAAGGGUCCAGAGAAUGUGGGAGAGGUGAGGAGGAAGUCUUUCAAGGGAGGCCCCUGACACACUUACAGUCCCGCAGUCUGGUUAUGCCAGGUGGCCACAGACCCCAGCCUCCAGACCUCCAGCACAGUCUCCUGCACCAGCCUGGCCCCCUAAGAGGAAGCGAUCCCGUAACACCAUUCACCGAGCCUUCCCUGCCCGAGGCGUGUGCCGAGCCCUGUCCACGCGUCAUCCCAUCCUCCACAGCUCGGUAGGGUGGGUGCCGCAUUAUCGCCCCACUGUCCAGUGAGGGGAGGUGAUCUGCUCCGGGCCGCACGGUGAGGAGGGAGUGGAGGCAGUAUCUGAGCCUGGGUCGGGUAGCAGGGCUGGGGCCUGCACAUUUCCCCUGCAGACCCACCCUGCAGAGAGCAGGGGACAGCACACAGGGGAGAGGCCUGGCUGGGUGAGGCAAAGAGAGGCAGCACCAUUGUAAAUAUUGAGCCCUGGCAAGCAAGUCACACACCUGCUCCCAGGUGACCGCCCUACACCCAGUUUGCAUUUCUGCAUAGUGCAGGGCCCCACCCGAGGGCAACACAAGCCAGAAGGCAGGAAGCCUUGGUCAUCUCACAAAGAGCUCCCGAGCACACACCAGGGUUAAUGGUCACAGUCACCCAGGCCAUGCUACAGGCAGAAGCUGGGAAUCAGAGAGUGAACCACUUGUUUAAGACCACACGGCAGGGACAGGGCAGGCCAGGGCCGCUCAGGAGAUCCACAGCAGAGUGACAGGGCCUGCCUGCAGGGAGCCACGUCCAGUGGAGACCCCAGGCCCACAGAGGCGGCCCCACCUCUCUCCAUCCUCCUGGAACGCUUGCAUGCCAGACUCUCGUAGGGCGGCCUGGUGGUAGCCUCCCUGCCCCAUCUCUCCUGGUUGGAGCUUGGGGUCAUAGGGAGCUUCUGGAGACAUGCAACCCAGGAAACCCCCAGCCCUGUCAUUUGGCAUCUCCCUCCCUUCCCAGCCUCCUCCUGACACACUGCCUGAGCUCCCCAGGCCACUCUACCUAACUUCAACCCCACUCCAAAUAUAGCCUCUCCAAGAGGCUUUCACUGGUCCCCGUCUCCACCACUGGUAACUCAACAGCCAUUUGUGGAGCCGCUGCUCCAUGGUAGGGGCUGGAGAUAAAGCCCAGAAGAGAACACUCAGGCCUGGGCAGGGGUUGGCCCUCAGGAUGCUCCCUGUGGUACUGUCUGUAGUAACAAGAGAGGGGGACUUGAAUGUCCUUCCCCAGGAAUGGCCCAAAUGCUGGCUCUGGAGUCAGACAGACCCUCAUGGUCGCUUGUGGUCUGGGCAAGUUACUUCCGCCUCUGCAGGAAAGGCACAGUCAUAGCUCUGAGCUCACAGGGUGGGAGUCACCCUGUCACCAGCUCAGGGUUGAGCACAGAGCAGGCUCAGGAAUGGGGCCUCCAGUUAUUGGGAUGACUGGACAACCUUUAAAGAUGGCACAUCAUUGAUGGGGGAGAGGUAAAUGACACUAUGUGGGAAAAACAGUAGCUGCAACAUUACACUGUCCACCCCCUUUUUUUCUUUAAGGAAAUGAGACUGAUGAUAUGCACAUUAAAGACUGAGAAGAAUAUGCCCCAAACAUUGGUAUUGAUUUUCAUUUUUUUUGCCCCUCUGUUUUUUCUAAAUUUUCUACAAUGACUGUAAUACUUGUGAAAUAAGGCGGAAAAUAAGAUCCACUUCUACGAAGACACACUGCCUGCCCUCAGACAGCUCGCACCUGUCUCUCAGACUACAGGUCCCCCAAAGCAGGGCCGGGCUCAUCAUCCACGCACGCAAGUGACGGCGGCUAAGCAUUUGCACGACAAAACUGAGGACAAGCCUGAAAGAAGCCAAGCCUUAAGCCAGGACCCUCAACACCUUUGUCCGGCCUCGUGACAUAGCGAUGGGCACUGGAGAGGCAGCUCCAGACCUUAUGGUCUGCGGGCAGGAAGUGCUGACACCAUGUCCCUGGAGGGAGGGAACUCUGAGGUCCAGGGGUCUCACAGGCCCAAGGUUGGAGGAGCCAUCUCUCAGAGGCACAAGCAAGAGGCCCUGAGAUGCCCCAGGACGCCACACAGCUCCUGCCCAGAAACCCCCAAGGACCCUGCAGGAAGACGGAAGCAGGACCCUGGGCUCUCCCCUGAUGCUGGUUUCCUGUCUACCCAGGAGUUUCCUCCCAUGGGAUGGGACCUGAGCGAUGCGCCCCAGGUGAAGGAGCACUGGGUGAGCAGUGCUCCCCGGCCAAGCACCCACUGCUGUGAUGUCAGGGAGCCAGGAACAGGACCCGUAAAAGAGAUCUGUGAAGUGAGGUCCCGCAGGCUGUGCAUGGAGGGCUUGGGGACAAGCGCACCACAUUGUUUCAGAGCAAGCACACUCCCACUCCUGGUAAACCUCAGAGACAAGCUCCCGGGAGUGAGAGCUGGCCUGCGGAAAAUUCAUUCCUGGUCUCAGCCGUCGGACCUACCCUGCCAAGGCCCAGCCUUCAUCUGCCUCUGCUAAAACUUGAAAAAGGAGGAGGAGGAAGAGGAGGGUCCCAAAGCAUCCACCAACAUGUGUGAAUCUGUCCAAACUGCUUGGCUUCUUGAAAUGCUUCUGGACUGCAUCCCUGGCCAGCAGGGUGGGAUGCUUCCCAGCACAGCCUUGGGAGUCCCCACACUUUCUGGCUAAGGGAAAAGAUUCAGGUGCCGAGACUGGGGGGUGUCCUCAGGAACAAAGAACCCAACUUGUCCCCAGCAAGGGGUGGGCCUACAUCCCCUCCAGAUGGUGUGCUCGGGGUAGGUCUCAAUAAACAUUUGUUCCUUU